rnacentral:lncRNA from 1 species
UACAGGACAUAGAUGUUGCAGAGAAGGCUUUUCAGACCAAGCUUACCCCACAUCCACAGCCGGAGAUGCUUUCUCUUGAGACUCGUUACUGGGCAUCAGUAGAAGAACAUGUCCCCAAAUGGGAACAGUUUCUUUUAGGAAAAGCACUGUAUCCGAUUGGGGCUGAAAGUCAAAGUGAGGCACCAUUUGUUCAAAGCGAAGCGAAGUCCUAACUUAUUCAUAUGCUCUGGGGGUGUUGGGGCACCGAAAACCUAUUUGAUAAAACUAUGUAAGUUGUGGCAGAAA